GGGUGCGAUCAUCCCAGCACUAAUGCGCUGUAUCUCAUAAGAACUCUCGCAGUUAGCGUGCUCGGGGCGAGAGUAGUACUAGGAUGGGUGUCCUCCUGGGAAGUGCUCGCGUUGUACCCC
rnacentral:rRNA from 1 species